CCCCAUGGACUGCAGUCUACCAGGCUCCUCCGUCCAUGGGAUUUUCCAGGCAAGAGUACUGGAGUGGGGUGCCAUUUUCUCCUGACAAAUGCACCUGCCCUUCCCUAGGUCAAUAAGGCUCUUGCUUAUCUCAGUAAGAUCAUUGCAUGUUCCUCCCAGUGGAUACUCUGGAGCUGGUCCUGGUUGACCUCUGUGUGGUAUGUGUGCUGGGCUCCUGCUCUGGGCCAGGUGCUGUGUUGGGCACUCAGUGGACCCUGUUUCCUGGGUCCAUGCCUCCCGCAGUGGGCAAGGUUCUGCUGCAGACUCUUGGUUCCAGGAGCAAGAGGCUUGCUCUGGCUGCUGUGGGCUGCGGGUGCUCCUUGAGCGAUCUGGAAAUUCCAGGUGCUGUCUUCUGCAAUAUCUUUUAAAUGGCUAUUUUGUACUAUUUUACUGAAGGUGUUGGAUGUGGAAAGGCACAAACUGCUUCACUGUGAAUAUUUUUAUAGUCUUAAGAAGGCUUUCCGUCUCCAUCACAAGGAAUUUCCCUGAAUCCCUCUUAACUGCCUGUAGCCUCCAGAGCGCCAGAGAGGUGCCCCCAACCUAAGUUGAUUCGACUUUGCUCCCUUAAAACUCGGCCUUCUCAUUAUGUUGAGCAGUUUAAUUCCCCCCACACUGGGUCCUGGGCCUCCCUGGGCAUCCUACACCCAAUAAUGUUCUCUGCUAAACAGAGAGAUCCCCUAGCCCACGGUUUGGAAGCACCAAAGAAGUGCCAGAGGCAUUACCCUUCCCACUUUUUUAUUUUUUACCUCCCCCACAAGCAGGUUGCGUCCAUCACCUCCUCCUCCACCCCAGGCAAAGGUGGUUUCUUUAUAUAACAGGACAGAGAAGUGUCCUGCCACACUCCAAGCACAGGGACCCUGGGCUACCCCUGCUUGAAGAUGAGCAGUUGUAGAUUUACGGCAACUCCAGGACCAGAUAUCCUGUCAUCUGUUCAAAAGAGGAGCUUCACAACGUGGAUGGACCUGAGAGUGUCCUACUGAGUGAAGUCUCCCGCCUCUGGUCUCUAUGCUUCCUGAAGCCAUCAGGCUGGUGGCAGAUGGAAUUCUCUGAGUACUGAAGGUUCAUGAUGGCCAGAGCUGGAGGAGAUCUUGGGAACCCACCCAAACAACCAUCGUAUGUGGAGGAGAAUGGAGGCUGUUGAUGAAAUGACUUGCAAGCUGGGGUUAGAAUCCAGGACCCCAGACCUCUCCCAGCACUCUGUUAUACCACACAGCCGCUCAUGAACCAGGAGGUAAAGUUGAAGAAGGUGAGCAUCAGGACUUCAGUGCAUUCAGAGCAGAGUGGGAGGGAGGACCUGCCUGAUCAUGGCGAAGGAAAACAGCCCACUGUUCCACUGGAAAUAUUUUACUGAGUAAACUUUUUCCUAACUGGCCAUAGUGCUCUAGAGGUGGAUCACUCAGAUCACAGAGGAAGUCCUCUGGAGGUCAGGGCAGCUCCUGAUGCCCUGACUCAGAGAGUUGAAACCACCACUGGGAAACCUGACCCCAA